AACGAACGCUGGCGGUGCGUUUUAAGCAUGCAAGUCGAACGGCAAGAAGGUGCUUGCACUUUCCUAGAGUGGCGGACUGGUGAGUAACGCGUGGGUGAUCUACCUUUAAGAUGGGGAUGCUUUUAGAAAUAAGAGAUAAUACCGAAUGUGCUUAUUGAAUUAUGAUUUGAUAAGGAAAGGGGCGAAUGCCUCGCUUAAAGAUGAGCCUGCGUCCCAUUAGCUAGUUGGCAAGGUAAAGGCUUACCAAGGCGAUGAUGGGUAUCCGACCUGAGAGGGUGAACGGACACAUUGGGACUGAGAUACGGCCCAAACUCCUACGGGAGGCAGCAGCUGAGAAUCUUCCGCAAUGGACGAAAGUCUGACGGAGCGACACCGCGUGAAUGAUGAAGGCCGGAAGGUUGUAAAGUUCUUUUGCAGACAAAGAAUAAGUGUAGGAGGGAAUGCCUAUCAUGAUGACGGUAGUUAUGUGAAUAAGCCCCGGCUAA
rnacentral:rRNA from 1 species